GCUGCCCCUAGUUAUUACAGGUGUGGCUGCUGUGUCACAUUGCAUCUGUAGGAGGCAGAGAGGAAAGAGGCUGUGUCUACUACUCUCAAUGUUCUCACCCGUGAACAUCGGAAUGAUGAGUAGCUUAGCCUU